UACGUAGGGGCGCAAGCGUUGUCCGGAAUUAUUGGGCGUAAAGAGCUCGUAGGCGGUGUGUCGCGUCGGAUGUGAAAGCCCGGGGCUUAACCCCGAGCCUGCUUCCGAUACGGGCAGACUAGAGGUAGGCAGGGGAGAGCGGAACUCCUGGUGUAGCGGUGGAAUGCGCAGAUAUCAGGAAGAACACCGGUGGCGAAGGCGGCUCUCUGGGCCUUACCUGACGCUGAGGAGCGAAAGCGUGGGUAGCGAACAGG
rnacentral:rRNA from 1 species